rnacentral:rRNA from 1 species
UACGUAGGGUGCGAGCGUUGUCCGGAAUUAUUGGGCGUAAAGAGCUUGUAGGCGGUCUGUCGCGUCUGCUGUGAAAAUCCGGGGCUCAACCCCGGACUUGCAGUGGGUACGGGCAGACUAGAGUGUGGUAGGGGAAGACUGGAAUUCCUGGUGUAGCGGUGAAAUGCGCAGAUAUCAGGAGGAACACCGAUGGCGAAGGCAGGUCUCUGGGCCACU